GGGGAGCCUCUACAGGUGUUGCAUGGCUGUCGUCAGCUCGUGUCGUGAGAUGUCGGUUAAGUCCGCUAACGAGCGCAACCCUCGACCUUAGUUGCCAGCAUUCAGUUGGGCACUCUAAGGUGACUGCCGGCUAAAAGUCGGAGGAAGGUGGGGAUGACGUCAAAUCAUCAUGCCCUUAUGGCCUGGGCUACACACGUGCUACAAUGGGCGGUACAAAGGGUCGCGAACCCGCGAGGGGGAGCCAAUCCCAAAAAGCCGCUCUCAGUUCGGAUUGCAGGCUGCAACUCGCCUGCAUGAAGCCGGAAUCGCUAGUAAUCGCGGAUCAGCAUGCCGCGGUCGAAUACGUUCCCGGGCCUU
rnacentral:rRNA from 1 species